rnacentral:lncRNA from 1 species
CGCUGUGGUAACCUGUGGUAACGUGUGGUAACGCUGUGGUAGCGUGUGGUAACCCUGUUAACCCUGUGGUAAUGUUGUUAACCCUGUGGUAAUGCUGUUAACCCUGUGGUAACGCUGUGGUAACGUGUGGUAACCCUGUUAACCCUGUGGUAACCCUGUUAACCCUGUGGUAACCAAAUCCCACCAGCUGCAACCUGUUCCGUAAUCAAGACCUCUACAAAUACUCAGCCCUGCCACUUCCACGCUGCCAGAUCGUAGCCUCUACUCAGUCAGUCUGCAUUUCUAGCUGUUUGUUCCUAGCCUCACGCUGCUUUUUCUCUCUGCUACAGUCCCGUCUGCUCUGACUCUGGUACCUGUCUCCAGUCCCUCGUCUCUUCAGUCCUGCUUCCUUGCCCUGGAUCCCCGCUCUACUGCGUCAUUGGAUUCUUCUCCAGACCUGCUUACCUGGUUCCUAAUCUCCUUGCCCUCAGCCUCAGUCCGGAUUCCCUACUACCCACCCCAUCUCCUCUCCUGAUAAUAAAUACAUUGGUUACCUAACCUCGUCUCCUCGUCUGAGUCUGCAUUUGGGUUCACCUGCACCGCCCCGCGUAACAGUGUAUGGAUUAUAGUAGACAAACCAUAGGAUUGCAUAGGUCAGAGGGGCCGGGCCACACAGAGGAUAAGAAGAUUGUCUCUGAAGUCAAAUCCUCUUGUUACGUCAUACGUGUGUCUCUACCAUUAAUCAGAGAGAGAGAGAGAGAGAGAGAGAAGAGAGAGAGAGAGAGAGAGAGAGAGAGAGAGGUGAAGAAGGAAGAGAGAGAGAGAGAGAGAGAGAGAGAGAGAGAGAGGUGAAGAAGGAAGAGAGAGAGAGGUGAAGAAGGAAGAGAGAGAGAGGUGAAGAAGGAAGAGAGAGAGAGAGAGAUGAAGAAGAAGUGAGAGAGAGAGAGAAAGAGAGAGAGGUGAAGAAGGAAGAGAGAGAGAGAGAGGGUGAAGAAGGAAGAGAGAGAGAGAGAGAGAGAGAGAGGUGAAGAAGGAAGAGAGAGAGAGAGAGAGAGAGAGAGAGAGGUGAAGAAGGAAGAGAGAGAGAGAGAGAGAGGUGAAGAAGGAAGAGAGAGAGAGAGAGAUGAAGAAGGAAGAGAGAGAGAGGUGAAGAAGGGAGAGAGAGAGAGAGGUGAAGAAGGAAGAGAGAGAGAGAGGUGAAGAAGGAAGAGAGAGAGAGAGGGGUGAAGAAGGGAGAGAGAGAGGUGAAGAAGGGAGAGAGAGAGAGAGAGGUGAAGAAGGAAGAGAGAGAGAGAGGUGAAGAAGGAAGAGAGAGAGAGAGAGAGAGGUGAAGAAGGGAGAGAGAGAGGUGAAGAAGGAAGAGAGAGAGAGAGGUGAAGAAGGAAGAGAGAGAGAGAGAGGUGAAGAAGGAAGAGAGAGAGAGAGAGAGAGAGAGAGAGGUGAAGAAGGGAGAGAGAGAGAGGUGAAGAAGGAAGAGAGAGAAAGAGGUGAAGAAGGAAGAGAGAGAUAGAGAGAGAGAGCGGUGAAGAAGGAAGAGAGAGAGAGAGAGAGGUGAAGAAGGAAGAGAGUGAGAGAGAGAGAGAGAGAGGUGAAGAAGGAAGAGAGAGAGAGAGAGAGGUGAAGAAGGAAGUGAGAGAGAGAGAGAGAGAGAGGUGAAGAAGGAAGAGAGAGAGAGAGAGAGGUGAAGAAGGAAGAGAGAGAGAGAGAGGUCAAGAAGGAAGAGAGAGAGAGAGGGAGAGAGGUGAAGAAGAAAGAGAGAGAGAGAGGUGAAGAAGGAAGAGAGAGAGAAAGAGAGAGGUGAAGAAGGGAGAGAGAGAGGUGAAGAAGGAAGAGAGAGAGAGAGAGGGAGAGAGGUGAAGAAGGAAGAGAGAGAGAGAGGUGAAGAAGGAAGAGAGAGAGAGAGAGAGAGAGAGAGAGAGAGAGGUGAAGAAGGAAGAGAGAGAGAGAGAGAGAGGUGAAGAAGGAAGAGAGAGAGAGGUGAAGAAGGAAGAGAGAGAGAGAGAGAGAGAGAGAGAGGGGUGAAGAAGGAAGAGAGAGAGAGAGGUGAAGAAGGAAGAGAGAGAGAGAGAGAGAGAGGUGAAGAAGGAAGAGAGAGAGAGAGAGAGAGAGGGGUGAAGAAGGAAGAGAGAGAGAGAGAGAGAGAGAGAGAGGUGAAGAAGGAAGAGAGAGAGAGAGAGAGGUGAAGAAGGAAGAGAGAGAGAGAGAGAGAGAGAGAGAGAGAGAGGUGAAGAAGGAAGAGAGAGAGAGAGGGAGAGAGGUGAAGAAGGAAGAUAGAGAGAGAGAGAGAGAGGUGAAGAAGGAAGAGAGAGAGAGAGGUGAAGAAGGAAGAGAGAGAGAGAGAGGUGAAGAAGGAAGAGAGAGAGAGAGAGAGAGGG